rnacentral:rRNA from 1 species
ACGCUCGACACCUACGGGAGCAGCAGUCGGGAAUAUUGCGCAAUGGAGGAAACUCUGACGCAGUGACGCCGCGUGCAGGAAGAAGGUUUUCGGAUUGUAAACUGCUUUAGACAGGGAAGAAUAAUGACAGUACCUGUAGAAUAAGCUCCGGCUAACUACGUGCCAGCAGCCGCGGUAAUCUGAGCGGGCUGGCAAGGC